UUUGGGUUAGGAGAAGAGGGAUGGAAUAGUAAUUAUGAUGCCCCGAUAAAAGGAACAAAAAAUGGAGAAUGAUUGGCCUUUGAAAAGUCACUGUGGAUCUGUGACUCAAAACAAGAAGAAGAAGAGAGAGAAAGAGAGAAAACGAUACACACACUUGCGGCAAUGGUGCAAUGGUGACUCCACAGAUUCCUGGUUUAUUCCGAUGCUCAAAUUACUGGUUUGUUCAUGGAAUGGACUUAUCUAAAAGGGGUGCAUUUUAGAGAAUAAUGAGCAAUAAUGACAGUGAAUUUGAAAAUCAAUCCAUGUGUUUUUAACAACAUAACCUAUUUUACAUGGGCAUGUACUAUUUUAUCAGUCACCAGGGUUGAUUCUGAGAUCAAUGGCCAUUUGUCUUGUAAAUAAUCUCUCCACACAUCAGAUCAGAAGAGACAAAUCUCUUGAUUCACAUUAGACAUUUGUUAGUAUUUUUCUUACUUGGAGCUUUUUGAAGAAGCUGAAGGGAGUGCCUUACACUAAACACGUCAUUUUCUUCACCAUGUGGUCUAAAGGUCUCUGCUUGUUUCUUUCCUGAAAAGGUAUAUUUGGAAUGUAGGUUUCCAAGUGGUAGGCAGCACACUGCACUUCACCUAGUUGUACUGUAUGUAGGUCUUUGCUGCGUUAAUGUCAAUAAAAGGUACUCUUGAAGGGAGUCCAAGUUGCAAGGGAAUCAUUUAGUUGGUUUUUAAGGGAAUCUGGUAUCAAGUUUCCUCUAUAUAUGUUGAAUGAAAUCCAAGGAAACCAGAAUCGGAUAAGGCUAUUUGGGUAUUAUGCGCAGCACAAAUUUUGAUUCUAAGAACUGUGUGUACAUAUUGAGUAAGUAGGGUAAUAAUGUAGGGAAGCGUCAUCAAUCCAAGGAUAUUCUGACAUUUCAUCACUUGUUCGUAUUCCCUGAUUCACAAUUUUCUCAUGCACUACCAUUUAACAAUUAACAUUCUAUAUUUAUAUUCA